AGCACAGUCUUUGGAGCAAGCUCCUCACAGCCGUUUUUACACAGACGGAGAAUGCUGCUCGGCGCAGCAUUUAUCGUCUGACAAAGAGUCAGUUCAUCCAAGUCUGUGUCUCUCAUUGUCCCAAGUAACCUCAAGUGCCACCUGCUUCCUUAUGAAGCCUUGAGGGACAGAGAGAAACUCUACAGAUAUUGCCUAUAGAAUGUCAGGAACAACUUUGCAUUAAGUGGUUUACGAUCUAGCGGGGGAAACACACACACAGUGGAGAGCCAAUCAUCGGAGACUGGGGAACAGCGUCGACAGCUGUUGACUGAAUGAGUAAAUGGGAGAUGAAGGAAGAUGAGUCUUAACUGGGCGUUACAAAAUGGCCACAUACAGAUCCUGACCGAGACUUCCUGGAGCAGAGCGGUUGUAGGUAUCAGGUGGGAUUGGUUUUUGCAUAUGCCAUCUGUGACUAACCACUUCCCCACACGCGUCCAUUUUUGAAUCUCUCCAAAAGGGGUUAACUCUAUCAUAGAGUGAUUGUGGAAUACUAGAAAGUAUCUAUAUAUACAAUUGACUAAUAAGAAAUGUUACGUUAUUAAUAGUAAAAGUGUUUUGUUAUUAUCAAUGUAUCGUUACUCUGUUUAACUUUAUGAUUAAAAUGUUGGAGCAGUGAACGAUGAGAUGUGGAAAGCAGUGUGUCACAGGGGAUCCGGAAGUGGAAAAGGCUGGAAAGAGAGGCCAGUCCUCCCGAGUACAGUCUCGACGCUCAUUUAAAGCAGCAGGUGGGCUGGAGAGAAAGCUUAUUGGUUAAGAGCGCCUCCUUCUGGACCCUGUGGACACUACAUGUAUGUCAGACAGGUGUGAACAAAACGUCCAUACACGAAAGGAAGAAAGGAAGAAAGAAAGAAAACAAAUCUUUAAAAAGAAAAUUAAAGCAGUAUGUGCCGUUCCAGAUUUUCGUUCCCAGAUCAGAUGUCAUUUAAAGUCCUCAUAACAAAGUUUAUACCAUGCUACUAAUGGUAUUUCAAACCAUAGGCGUAAUUAUGGAUACUAUUUACAUUUUGCUUAUAAAAUAUACUACUUUUCACCAUUUUAAAAA